GAUCGACGGGGAAGAACUAGGGAUGAUCACAUCACGUACACCAUAUUAUUCUGAAUUUUAUUUGACCUUGAUGUAACUAGAUUAUUAUUGACAUACUCUGACUUCAUUAUGGUUUCGAUGAAAACAUUUUGGAUGAUGGUUUUAUUAUUAUAAAAAUGAAAUUUAUGGUUGUGACAACCCGAUAUUUCAACUCUUUGUAAUGACCUAAAAAGUCAAGUAUUGUAACCACCUUUGAGUUAAUGAAUUUAACUUUGAUAAUAAAAUGUCAAAAAAGUUUCUAUUUAAAUUCCUACUAUGUUUAAUGUCAUUAAACCGUGAUCGUACGUAAAAAGAACGCCCAAAUCAGACUUUGUAUGUUGAAGCUAUGAUUUUUCCAAGUUCGGCAUAGCGACAGACAGCUAAAAACUCGAAUCGGAGAUCGAGCGACUUUUGGCCGGAAUGACCUAAACGAGAAUCGAAGGUCUCAACAAUGGUAAUUCAGCGGUAAAAAGUCUGGCAAAAACCGACGUCAGAUAAAGAAGUUAUGAAUUUCUAAAGAAAUUCCUUAAACACGACCCUUUUAAAAAUAAAUAAUAAAAAUAAUUUCGAAAUUCGCCGACGGAGUCUAAACGAAAGUUGUAGAGGGUAGUCUCACCUAUGCGUGGAUAAAAAGACCGUCGAAAACGGAAUUCAUAUGAAUAGGAUAUGAAUUUUAGAAGUUUAUUAAUUAAAUUAUAUAUAAAUUUAAUUAUAAAUGUUUGGUAUUAUCCGAAGGGAGUCAGCAGAUAAGGCCGAAGUACGCCCUGCAUACCCUCGUACGCCCCGCGUACUCAAGGCCUAGGCCUCGGAUCAUCCACGUCCUAGUCUAUGCGAAGUAGCCUUGUCCCAUCCGAAGUCCGAGGCAGUCGAGGACUCGGUCAUGCAUGACGUACGCGUACGCCCCGCGUACCCUCGUACGCCCUGCGUACCGAGGCGGUUCCAGCCCUUAUAAAAGGGUUGUGAGGGUUCCGAAGAAAGGGCUCCAUUUCUCUCCUUUCUUGUGGGUUCUUGCCUCAUUUUCCGUCCCCGUUCUACCCCGAAGCCCCGGUCAUUUUGCUCAAGUCCCGAAGGUCGUUUUUACUCCCGAGAUUCCCAAGAAUCCCGAGAAAAAUCCGUUUCCCGAGACGAAACUCUGCCCGGUUUCCAUCUCGCUUUCUUCAAACUUUCAAGUGAGUUCAUACCCCUUAAUUAACCUUUUAAAUGUUCUAUAAAUGCUUUUAUAUGCUUUCAAGGGGGGGAAUACAAGUAAAACACACGAGUAUCAUCGUGUGUUAUAUAAAGAAUUNNNNNNNNNNNNNNNNNNNNNNNNNNNNNNNNNNNNNNNNNNNNNNNNNNNNNNNNNNNNNNNNNNNNNNNNNNNNNNNNNNNNNNNNNNNNNNNNNNNNNNNNNNNNNNNNNNNNNNNNNNNNNNNNNNNNNNNNNNNNNNNNNNNNNNNNNNNNNNNNNNNNNNNNNNNNNNNNNNNNNNNNNNNNNNNNNNNNNNNNNNNNNNNNNNNNNNNNNNNNNNNNNNNNNNNNNNNNNNNNNNNNNNNNNNNNNNNNNNNNNNNNNNNNNNNNNNNNNNNNNNNNNNNNNNNNNNNNNNNNNNNNNNNNNNNNNNNNNNNNNNUACAAGAACAAACGUAACAUUUUAACAAGUAGAUCUGUUUUUAUACCACGGAUUUGUGAGACACUAACUUCAUGUAUGUUCGAGUACACAUUUCAAGUCCUGUAUUAUAUACCAGAAUCCCUUGGAGGGGGAGCAUGGUGUUUGUGUAUAGAUCUAUACGGGCUUCACAACUCGCGCCUUAACUGUUAGCUACAGUCCAUCAUUUGGGGUGAAAAACGUCAUAACAUUCCAACGCCUGAAGAACGUUGUUUAUAGGCAUUUCGAGUCAAUAGUAUGGUUAUCAAACUCACAUGGGGUAUUAAAAAUGCAUUGAUUUACGAGGUUUUCAAACAUAUUGGUUAUUUUACACUUACAUACAUUUUUAGAAACAAAUAUCGGUCUUGAGUGAAGGCUACUUUUAUACUAGUAGAAAAUAUAGGAUUUUCUAGAAACAAACAAACAAGGACAAAACAUUUCAUUUCAUACAAACAUUUUCAUUUAAUACUUAUGAAACUCACCAGCUUAAAUGCUGAUCUACUCUUUCAAAAUUACUUGUAUGUCCCAGGGAUUCAGUAAUUUCAGGUACUAAUAUGCUUUUGAAGAAGGGAUGCUGCGGCGCCAGUUUAAUCUCAUAUUUUGACAUCAUAUUGUAAUUGGUUUUGAACAUGUAACUUUUGACAAAUGUAAACUUUCAAUUAUAUAUAUGAUGGUUGUAUUGCUUUCUUUACUAUGUAUUCAUUUGUUACGUUACCACAUGAAGUCAUCCGCCCCCGAACGUUUCCGCCGUUCAGGUUUGGGGGUGUGACAGAUUGGUAUCAGAGCAAUGUUUAUAGUGAACUAAGUAUAUCGAACCACAUAAGAUAUACAAACUAUAAAUGCUUAAGGGACUAAUACUCUCUGACAAAACAUUUUUCUUUUGUUUUUACGCUUAAGCAGCGUUACAUUUAACUUAAAUUGUUAGUUCAUUUAAGUACAAAUACAUACAUACAACAAAAUUAUUUUCAUGAUUUUAAAUAUACAAGAAGUAUUUAGACAAGUUGACACUACGAUUAAAACUCGAUAUAUAAUCAGGUUUGGGACAAAUAUAGCGUGAUCAACUAUAUUUGUCUGAGAUCGGACCAAUAUAUAUCGAGGAUUGCUCGUAGUAAGCAACAAGUCAAAACUUACCAAACCGUCACAAGAAUCAAACACAAGAAUUUAAAUACUAUAGGAGUAUCUGCUACAUAAACUAGUUUAACUUAUAUGUUUUACAUGUUCAACUUUUUUCAAUUCUUAUAACCCUAUUUCUCGUACAGUCAAAUGGCUGGAUUUCACCACCCUGGCGACCCCUACUUUCCCAACCAAGGCAAUGGAGGAUGGGUCGAAGUUGAUCCCGAAGAGGACGAGGAACCCAUAGAGGUGGAUAAUGACUCCGGUACCGACUCAGAGCUGGAGGUGAUCAACCCACCACCCAUACAACCUCCCGUCUUCGUAAGGAACUUUCAAGGACCGACUCCCGUCUGGGGAAGUCACCUCCACCAUUGGAGCCAACAACAAAACCUAAGCCCUCCCUACGGCAUGUGUCGGGACUUCUACGAUGUCCGAGGAGGAGGUUCGGCUGAUCGGGCACUCCCAGUAAUGGUGGGGAAGCUAGCCAAUCAAUCAGGUUCAAGCUAGNUCGGGAUGUCAACGUGGAAGUACAGGUUCACACUUCCGACAUCCGUAGGCUGGACAGAAUGCAAGACAAUGCUCAACUCCAAACCGAGGCAUUCCAAGCGCAAAUGAUUGCAGCCCUCGCCGAAUUGAGGGAACAACAAGCCGCUUUUGAUAGGCGUCUAAUGGAGUCAAAGCAAUCGGAUGCGGAGUCAAGCUCCAAGCGCAACCUACGUCGCAAGUAGUGCUUGCAAAAAUCUCAAAUUUUGUUAUAAGUUAGAACCUCGGCUAAAAGUCUUUCAAUUUCUCAAACUUUGUAACCGGAGACCCUUAUAGGGGUCAAAUUUUCGUGAUCAUUGUAUCAACUAUUAUAUUAAUAUAAGUGGCACUAUUAUUACUACGUCGAGUAUUUCAUUAAAUCCUUGUACAGUCAUCGAGAAACCAAAUGCUUGAUUCAUAUUGUCAGUCUUACAAAUAACUUUCAUGCUUCUAUUUUAAGACUCAUACUAUCAUCUGUUGUCGAACUAUAGCAAUUUGGUUCAUAAGGCACACUCAGUUUCUAUACUAAGUAAUUCUUAGUGUUAUCUUUUCAACCUAUAGUUGAAGGAUGCCUCCGCGUAGUAACCCAAGGCGAAACAACGGUGGGGAAGCACCUAUACCAGCACCACCUCCUCCACCACCUCAAUUUGAUGCUGUCAUAUUCCAAGCAGCAGUCACCGCAGCGGUAGCAACUGCCAUGUCACAGAUCAAUAACUCGGUACUACUGGNUGCCAUGUCACAGAUCAAUAACUCAAGUACUACUAGCUCGGGAACUGGCACACACCUAUCCAACCAUGGCGAGAGUCAUGGGCAACCCCGAGAAUGCACCUAUAAGGACUUUACUAAUGCCAAACCCCGGAUGUUUUAUGGAACUGGUGGUGUGAUAGCUCUGAGGCAGUGGAUUGAGAGGACGAAAUCAGUCUUUGAAAUCUGCUCCUGCCCCGAGCACUGCAAAGUCAAGUUUGCAACUUUCACCCUUAUUGAUAGACAUUUAACUUGGUGGAAUGGCCACAUUAAGGUACUUACCCUGAUAGUGGCAAACUCCAUAAGCUGGGAGAGCUUAAAGGUCAUGCUGAUGAGAGAAUACUAUCCAUGAGGAGAGAUUCAAAAACUCGAGCACGGACUCUGGACUCUUGGAAUGGUUGGUAACGACAUCGCAACUUAUACCAACGGGUUCUGCGAUCUAGCAAUCCUUUGCCCAGAUAUGACUACUCCUGAGAGCAAGAAAAUAGAGAGAUACAUUUGGGGACUGUCGCCCCAAAUUAGGUCCAGCGUGUUAGCUUCAAAACCUGACACUUUUGAAAGUGCCAAGGAACUGGCAUAAUCUCUUGUUGAUUAUGGAGGUCAUCAGAACUCAACGGUUGCUACACCAGAACCACAAAAGGGAAACAACAACAACAACAACAACAACAACGACAACAACAACAACAAUAACAAUAACAAGAAGAGGGUAUGGAAUAAAGGGAAGGGUGGGUCUUCCAAAGAAUCCGCAAAGAAACAACUAGUUUCAGUGAAUGCUGCAACUGUACCUACUACAGUCCCUACGAAUCCCUACCCAACAAAGACUUAUGGGGUUAAUCUUCCAAAGUGCACCAAAUGCACUUACCACCAUCAUGGACCUUGUCGGGAAAUGCAGUGCUCCAACUACAAAAGAAAGGGACACACUGUCCGUUUCUGCAAGGAUCCCACAAGGCCGAUCACUCAAGUUCCCAACGCGGGUGUAGGCCAAACUUGCUACGGUUGUGGCGAGGUGGGCCACUACUGGAGGAACUGCCCAAAGGUAGCAAAUACCGGCGGGGUGGGACGAGUUUUAGCUAUAGGCCAUGAUGAAUCCGUAGCUGAUCCGACUGUGGUUGUUGGUACGUUCCUUANGCAGUGCUCCAACUACAAAAGAAAGGGACACACUGUCCGUUUCUGCAAGGAUCCCACAAGGCCGAUCACUCAAGUUCCCAACGCGGGUGUAGGCUAGACUUGCUACGGUUGUGGCGAGGUGGGCCACUACUGGAGGAACUGCCCAAAGGUAGCAAAUACCGGCGGGGUGGGACGAGUUUUAGCUAUAGGCCAUGAUGAAUCCGUAGCUGAUCCGACUGUGGUUGUUGGUACGUUCCUUAUAGAUAAUUCAUAUGCAUGCAUAUUAUUCGAUAGUGGAGCGGAAAGAAGCUUCGUGAGUCAAAACUUUAUUCACUUACUUAAACCUAAACCUAGCAAGUUAGAAAAAUCAUUCACUGUAGAGAUGGCCAAUGGAAAAACCAAAAACACUAACUGCAUUUACAUGGGCUGUACGUUAACUUUAGACGGUUAUUCUUUCCCCAUCAAUCUCAUGCCGGUCCAAAUUAAAAGUUUCGACGUCAUAGUCUGCAUGGAUUGGUUGAGUCUUCUUCACGCCGACAUCAUGUGCUUUGAGAAAGCAGUUCGUCUUAAUCUCCCUAACAACGAAACAUUAGUGAUUUACGGCGACAAAUCAAGUACAAACCUUCGCAUCAUUUCGUGCAUCCAAGCUCGAAAGUGCUUGCGGAAGGAUUGUCGAGCAUUCCUAGCGCACAUCGUCGAUACAAGUCAAGAACUGAAGGACAUCAAGAGCAUUUCGGUAGUACGCGACUUUCCCGAUAUCUUUCCAGAAGAACUACCAGGAUUACCACCGCAACGCCAAGUCGAGUUCAGAAUCGACUUAGUUCCAGGAGCUACCCCAGUAGCAAAAUCGCCUUACCGUCUCGCACCAGCAGAGAUGCAGGAACUUUCCAGUCAACUUAAUGAACUCCUUCAAAAAGGAUUCAUAAGACCAAGUUUCUCACCUUGGGGAGCACCGGUCUUGUUUGUAAAGAAGAAAGACGGAUCGUUCCGUAUGUGCAUCGACUACAGAGAGCUGAACAAACUUACUGUCAAGAACCGUUAUCCUCUACCCCGUAUUGACGACCUAUUCGAUCAACUUCAAGGAGCGAACUACUUCUCAAAGAUAGAUCUACGAUCCGGAUAUCACCAAUUACGAGUUCUAGAGGGGGAUAUUCCAAAGACAGCUUUCCGAACUCGUUAUGGACACUACGAAUUUGUAGUGAUGCCGUUCGGAUUAACCAAUGCACCAGCAGUAUUUAUGGACCUAAUGAAUAGGGUAUGCCGCCCUUACUUGGAUCAGUUCGUCAUCGUCUUUAUCGAUGAUAUACUUAUCUACUCUCGAAGUGAGGAAGAGCAUAGUCAGCACCUACGAAAAGUCCUAGAAACACUGCGAACGGAGAAACUCUAUGCGAAGUUCUCUAAAUGCGAAUUUUGGAUUCGAAGAGUCGAAUUUUUAGGCCACGUUGUUAGCGAGAAAGGUAUACACGUGGACCCCUCCAAAAUUAAGGCCAUUGAGAACUGGUCGGCACCAAAGACACCUACAGAAAUUCGUCAAUUUCUAGGUCUAGCUGGCUACUAUCGCAGAUUCAUAAAGAACUUUUCGAGCAUUGCGAAACCUCUUACUACAUUAACCCAGAAAGGUGUGGCCUUUGACUGGGAAGCGAAACAAGAGAAGGCAUUCCAGACACUAAAGCAGGCCUUGUGCACCGCACCGAUACUAUCCCUCCCCGAAGGGAUAGAAGACUUCGUAGUGUAUUGCGAUGCGUCAAAUCAAGGACUUGGUUGUGUUCUUAUGCAGAGAGGGAAGGUUAUUGCUUAUGCCUCCCGACAGCUUAAGACACACGAAGUGAACUAUACGACACACGAUCUUGAGUUAGGAGCAGUGGUAUUUGCUCUGAAGAUCUGGAGACACUACUUAUACGGAACAAAGAGUACUAUUUUCACCGAUCACAAGAGCCUUCAACACAUUUUCGAUCAGAAGGAACUCAACAUGCGACAACGACGAUGGGUUGAGUUACUAAAUGACUACGAAUGCGAAAUUCGUUAUCAUCCUGGCAAGGCCAACGUGGUAGCUGACGCCCUCAGUCGAAAGGAAUACACUGGUCGGAGGGUCAAAUCUCUGACUAUGACUAUCCAUUCCCACUUAUCCACACAAAUUAAGGAGGCACAAAUGGAAGCUUUGCAACCUGAAAAUGUGGCGGGUGAAUCCCUGCGAGGAAUGGAAAAGAAUCUAGAAGUCAAGGGUGGCGGAGCAUAUUAUCUCAUGGACCGAAUCUGGACACCGAAACAUGGUGGUUUCAGAGACGUAGUCAUGACCGAAGCACACAACACAAGAUAUUCCGUUCACCCAGGUUCAGAUAAAAUGUAUCUGGAUCUUAAGAAACUGUACUGGUGGCCUAACAUGAAAGCAGAAAUUGCUACCUUUGUAAGUAAAUGCCUUACUUGCGCAAAGGUUAAGGUCGAGUAUCAAAAACCGUCAGGAUUACUACAACAACCGGAGAUACCAGAAUGGAAAUGGGAACGGAUUACUAUGGACUUCAUAACCAAGUUGCCCAAGACGACGGGUGGACUUGAUACCAUAUGGGUCAUCGUCGACAGAUUGACCAAAUCCGCGCAUUUCCUACCAAUCAAAGAGACUGACAAAAUGGAAAAGCUUACAAGAACUUACAUAAGGGAAGUAGUGCGACUGCACGGUGUUCCGAUAUCCAUUAUCUCCGAUAGAGAUAGUAGAUUCACUUUGAGAUUCUGGCAGUCACUACAAAGUUCCCUGGGAACUAGGCUCGAUAUGAGUACAACCUACCACCCACAAACAGACGGGCAAAGUGAGAGAACGAUACAAACUUUGGAAGAUAUGCUGAGAGCCUGUGUGAUUGACUUUGGAAAGGCAUGGGAUAUUCAUUUACCCCUUGUCGAAUUUUCAUACAACAAUAGUUAUCAUACAAGCAUAAAGGCUGCUCCGUUUGAAGCCCUCUAUGGUCGAAAGUGCAGAUCCCCUCUGUGCUGGACUGAAGUUGGCGAUACCCAGUUAGCUAGAGGACGAGUUCCUGAAAGCACUCUCACCGGUCCAGAAAUCAUACGAGAAACGACAGAGAAGAUCGUUCAAAUUCGUGAACGGUUGAAAGCCUCCAGAGACCGACAUAAAAGCUAUACUGACCAAUAGAGGAAACCUUUGGAAUUCCAGGUAGGAGACCAAAUUUUAUUGAAGGUCUCACCGUGGAAAGGUUUAAUACGCUUUGGGAAGCGUGGGAAACUAAAUCCAAGAUACAUAGGACCUUUCGAGAUUCUUGCUAGAAUCGCCCCUGUGGCUUACAAACUUAACCUACCACGUGAACUUAGUAACAUACAUCCAACCUUCCAUGUCUCGAACUUGAAAAAGUGUCUGUCCGAUGAGACUCUUGUUAUUCCACUCGACGAGAUCGAGAUCAACGAGAGCCUCAACUUUGUGGAAGAACCGGUAGAAAUCAUGGACCGAGAGGUCAAACAAACAAAACAAAGUCGCAUACCCAUCGUGAAGGUUCGUUGGAACGCCAAGCGGGGACCUGAAUUCACAUGGGAACGCGAAGAUCAGAUGAAACAAAAGUACCCUCAUCUCUUUCAUGUUCACUAGUAUCUUUACUACUUUAAAUUUCGGGACGAAAUUCUCUCUAACGGGGGGAUGAUGUGACAACCCGAUAUUUCAACUCUUUGUAAUGACCUAAAAAGUCAAGUAUUGUAACCACUUUUGAGUUAAUGAAAUUAACUUUGAUAAUAAAAUGUCCAAAAAGUUUCUAUUUAAAUUCCUACUAUGUUUAAUGUCAUUAAACCGUGAUCGUACGUAAAAAGAACGCCCAAAUCCGACUUUCUUUGUUGAAGUUAUGAUUUUUCCAAGUUCGUCAUAGCAACAGACAGCUAAAAACUCGAAUCGGAGAUCGAGCGACUUUUGGCCGGAAUGACCUAAACGAGAAUCGAAGGUCUCAACAAUGGUAUUUCAGCGGUAAAAAGUCUGGCAAAAACCGACGUCAGAUAAAG
rnacentral:lncRNA from 1 species